rnacentral:tRNA from 1 species
UUCCGGAGUAGCUCAAUCGGCAGAGCAGCGGACUGUUAAUCCGUUGGUUGCAGGUUCGAGUCCUGCCUCCGGAGCCAU